rnacentral:rRNA from 1 species
GCCUAACACAUGCAAGUCGAGCGGAUGACGGGAGCUUGCUCCUNGAUUCAGCGGCGGACGGGUGAGUAAUGCCUAGGAAUCUGCCUGGUAGUGGGGGACAACGUUUCGAAAGGAACGCUAAUACCGCAUACGUCCUACGGGAGAAAGCAGGGGACCUUCGGGCCUUGCGCUAUCAGAUGAGCCUAGGUCGGAUUAGCUUGUUGGUGAGGUAAUGGCUCACCAAGGCGACGAUCCGUAACUGGUCUGAGAGGAUGAUCAGUCACACUGGAACUGAGACACGGUCCAGACUCCUACGGGAGGCAGCAGUGGGGAAUAUUGGACAAUGGGCGAAAGCCUGAUCCAGCCAUGCCGCGUGUGUGAAGAAGGUCUUCGGAUUGUAAAGCACUUUAAGUUGGGAGGAAGGGUUGUAGAUUAAUACUCUGCAAUUUUGACGUUACCGACAGAAUAAGCACCGGCUAACUCUGUGCCAGCAGCCGCGGUAAUACAGAGGGUGCAAGCGUUAAUCGGAAUUACUGGGCGUAAAGCGCGCGUAGGUGGUUUGUUAAGUUGGAUGUGAAAGCCCCGGGCUCAACCUGGGAACUGCAUCCAAAACUGGCAAGCUAGAGUACGGUAGAGGGUGGUGGAAUUUCCUGUGUAGCGGUGAAAUGCGUAGAUAUAGGAAGGAACACCAGUGGCGAAGGCGACCACCUGGACUGAUACUGACACUGAGGUGCGAAAGCGUGGGGAGCAAACAGGAUUAGAUACCCUGGUAGUCCACGCCGUAAACGAUGUCAACUAGCCGUUGGAAUCCUUGAGAUUUUAGUGGCGCAGCUAACGCAUUAAGUUGACCGCCUGGGGAGUACGGCCGCAAGGUUAAAACUC